rfam:Canis lupus familiaris chromosome 11, whole genome shotgun sequence.
GUGGAGUUUGGAGCCUAAGCGUUGAAAACUCCCAUGUGGCGCCUGUCUUAAAUCGGAGCAUGCUCAGUA